rnacentral:rRNA from 1 species
GCAAGUCGAACGGAAAUACUGAUUAGUUUACUAAGAUGUAUUUUAGUGGCGGACGGGUUAGUAACACGUGAGUUACCUGCCUCAAAGUGGGGGAUAGCCUUCCGAAAGGGAGAUUAAUACCGCAUAAGGCCCCCUGUUAAAAGGGUGGUUAAAGUUGGCUUCGGCUGACGCUUUGAGAUGGGCUCGCGACCUAUCAGCUUGUUGGUGAGGUAAUGGCUCACCAAGGCUACGACGGGUAGUUGGUCUGAGAGGGUGGUC